GGUUGCGAUCAUACCAGCACUAAUGCACCGGACCCCAUCAGAACUCCGCAGUUAAGCGUGCUUGGGCGAGAGUAGUACUAGGAUGGGUGUCCCCUGGGAAGUCCUCGUGUUGCAACCC
rnacentral:rRNA from 1 species